AUGAGUAGGAGUCGACCGCGCAGCCGCUUGGAGCAAGGGGAUUCUGAGGUACAUGAUGGCAAGCUUCCAGAGAUUCUUUGUGUUUCAGAAAGCAAGUGUCUCCCUUCUCAGCCACCAAAAGAACAAAAAUUGCCAAUCAUAACAUGUGACCAAAGAUUUUCGGAUACCAACGUCUCAGGAAAAUCAUUUGGAGGUCGUCUGUUUGAGAACAGUUGGAAGAAUGCAGUGAUAAAAACAAAAAGGAUGAAACAAAGUACACCAUUUAAAUUUAUCAUAUUGCAAAUUUAUUGUAAAAUAAUUUCAUAAAAGAAACUGUAAAAUAUAGGCCUAGUUGCUAUUCCCAACUAGAGUAAACUCUUUAAUUAGUGGAAUUUACAUAUGUGUUGAUUUAUGAUAUAGUGGCUUACUCUGUUUGGGACUACCAAUUGAACAAGUCCCUGUUACAUAUUUGUCCAUGGUCCUUUUCUGAUGUAACCAUAGCAAUUCAACCAUAAUACCUUCUCUUUUUCAUUUGCCUACAACAAGGCAGAGUGGAGGCGCUUAGAACCCUAUGUCUCCCACUUGUUUUUAAGCUUCAGAUUGGAGCCAUUUGGAGCAUUACAAAGGGGGUAGAAACUUAUUUAGAGUAGAGUCCCCUUUUCCAAACUUGAACUGAAUUUCCCACCACUUCCAGCAUUCAAAUAAAUGAUCUGUGAGCCGAAAUAAGGUAUGCA
rnacentral:lncRNA from 1 species